rnacentral:rRNA from 1 species
GGGUGACUAAUGCUUGGGAACAUGCCUUGAGGUGGGGGACAACCAUUGGAAACGAUGGCUAAUACCGCAUAAUGUCUACGGACCAAAGGGGGCUUCGGCUCUCGCCUUUAGAUUGGCCCAAGUGGGAUUAGCUAGUUGGUAAGGUAACGGCUUACCAAGGCGACGAUCCCUAGCUGGUUUGAGAGGAUGAUCAGCCACACUGGAACUGAGACACGGUCCAGACUCCUACGGGAGGCAGCAGUGGGGAAUAUUGCACAAUGGGCGCA